rnacentral:lncRNA from 1 species
AUUACCCAUUUUGAACAUAGGCUAUGUCCUUUCUUCCGCUUUCGUGUUGCUGGUAGGUCGCAUGAAAUUUUUGAAAAACAAAUCCAUUUGAAUCACUAUAACUUUUUGUCAUCUUCUUUUAAUUUGUUAUUCUACAGUUGUAUUUUCAUCUCUUUCAGAUAAUAUAGCAAGAUGAGAGCAAAGGUAAGCAUGUAACUAAAUAUUUUUUAUCGAAUUAGUCUUGCACAUAAACAUGUCGGAUAACACGCAUUUACGUCCGACCAUUGAUGUAUGUUGUUUGUUACGGGGAGAAAGUUAAUUUGUGACACUUAGUGAAUUGCAACAUACUGCAAAUCAGAGUUCUAAUGAUAUGUGGCAAAACUGUUCGUGAUGUAUAAAUUUUAAUUUGAGGUCCUUGAACGUAAAACUUGGACCAUGUGGACUGCUGGUGCAGGAUGCGAAGCCGAAGUCCGUGGGUGUCUGUCAACACAUCUCGUGUCUUGUAGUAACCAAUUGUUCAGUAAUAUCUAAUAUAUUUAUUAUUCAUAUAAUAUUUACAAUGCGUGUGCUUAAAUUGAAUACUAAGAUAGCCUAGCAAUUCUAGAAAUUUUGACCCCCCCCCCUUUUCUGCCAGGUAAUGGCCAUAAUCAACGAACUGAUUACACUGCCAUCGUUUAGUGCGCAUUUAUAACUACCCCCUCCCCCAAAAAUUUUCAAUGGAAGCCAUAUAAUUUACAAAGUUGAAUUGUUUCACAUGUUUCAAAAGUAACUGGAUUUCCACCUUAUUGCUGAACCAAUUUUGAGUCGGGCAAGUACCAAAAAACUUCCCAAACCCAGCAUCUUUCAUAUUGGCUGUGGAACCUUGCAUGUACUGUAGCUCAUGGACAUGGGUCUGAAUGUUAUAUUUUUACUAUUAGAGCUUUUUCCCGUUCGAAACGUUUGGAAUUGCACUUAUUUUCCAAAAAUGUAUUGUCAAUAAUCCAUGCCAAUGAAACAACUCUCCACAAAAGACCAAAAUGAUGUAGCAAUUAUUAACUAUAGGUCACCCUAUGGCCUUCAACAAUAUAGUUUGUUUCGUUUGAUAUUUUUUCUAGGAUAUGACGUACCUAUGUAUGUUAGAGUAUUUAUUUCCUUAACAUUAUCUUUUUUACAUUGGUAAACCUCCGCCGAUUUUGUUCAGCCACAUUGAAUCUCGUUAUGACGUCAUUUAUUUGUUGAGUGGUAAAAUUUUAUAUCAAGUUUACAUUGGACUUCUCUUUUUCAGUGGCGUAAGAAGCGUAUGAGGAGGUUGAAGCGUAAAAGGAGGAAGAUGAGGGCAAGGUAAUUAUAUUAGCUUGUAUAAGUAGUGAUUUAAUUUGGUCCUGCUGAAAAAGGUUAUAAAUAAGAACUUGAGAAGCUGUCAAUAUUUCAGGUUGGAGCCUAUUUCUAUAAUUUUGUUAUAAUUAUACCCCCGCUUUGAAAAAAAGGAGGUAUACUGUUUUACCUCUGUCUGUCCUUCCGUCAGUCCAUCCGUCCCAUGAAUAUUUUUCGUCACAUUUUUCUCAGGAACUACAAUACAAGGAUUUCUGAAAUUUGGUGUAAGGGUUAAUAUAAGUCAGGUAUACCGUGUGAUGCGUUUUCAGAUUCAUCACUCGACAACUUCCUGUUUACCGAACACUUGCAUAUUUUUACACAAUUGAUAUUAUCCACUUGCGGCGGGGGUAUCAUCAGUGAGCAGUAGCUCGCAGUUUCACUUGUUUGUCUUAAAAGUAGUAGUACAACACACUAUAUAAAUAUUGAGAAAGUGCAGGUGGUACUUUUUUCUCCUCUCCUAUAUUGUCUAAAGAAAUGCACUGUGAACUAUCUGGACCAUUUCAAAAGAUCAAUACACCUUUUCGCUAAAUUAGUCCUUUCCAGGGGAAAUAGUUACCAAGACAAAUUGCUGAUGAGAUGGUUGAACAAAACUAAAGUCAUCAUCAAUGAGCUGAGAAAAGAGUGGCCAUUUUUAAAUUUUGCUAGUUGAAAGAACGAAUUUUAAGCUCCACCUAGGACCAUUUACUUAUUCCGAUUGUGGAUCUGUCCGCCCUGCUCAAGUUUUUGGUCAUGGUACUUUUUUUUUGAGGUUACACAUCUACCAUUUGACAUGAUUAUUAUGAUUUUAAUGUCAAAUCAGUAACAUUGAAAAUGAUGGUGUGAGUUUGGCAUUAGUGUUACAUGGACGAAUUCUUGUCAAUAGAUGAAUUAAGUCCAUGAAACUGUUUUGUUAGGGUAAACAAUGGUUAAAUGAUGCCUCUGAAUGAAUAGUUUGAGGCACGAUAUUUUGUGUGAACAAAGCCAACAAACUUCAAAUGGGAAUGUAGUGAAAAGGUGUAUAUCAAUGGAACGUGGAUAACAUAACUUGUCAAACAAGAACAGAUUUUCAACAUUCACUUUCGUUAUAAACUUACUUGGUUCAGUAGGGAAGUAGCCGCAAAUCCAGUCAAUUUUGUGUCAUUUCCUUCAUUUGUUGUGUAUUCAUUUGUCCUGUGAAGAACGAGAACAAAAUGAUACAACAAUUCGUCAUAACAGACCAGAUGACAGAAUUUAAUAACAAUGGUCACCGUCAGACUUUCAACAAUGAGCUAAGCCCAUAUCACAGUCUACUAUAAAAGGUCCCGAAAUAACUAAUGUAAAUGAGAUAAAACUGACGGCCCAAUUUAUGUAAAAAAUAAUGAAUGAAAAUGAAAUAUGUAACAGCAACAAACGAGGACCACUGAAUAAUAGGCUCCUGACUUUGGACAGGCACUUGCAGAAUAAGGCAGGUUUAAACAUGCUCCCAAUCAUGUGACAAGUGGUUCAUCAGAACAGUACAAGACAUUCCUGAAAAAAUCUCAAAUGAAAACAUCAUUUUGCCUGUUCCAACCCCCAAGUUUCUUGAUUUGUAGUCUUAGACCUUUAAAGUAAUUGAAAUGAAGGCUGAACAUGAUUAAAUUUUGUUUAACUGUACAAUAUUGUGAUUGAAAAUAUGAAACAAUGUUAUACUCCACUUAAUUGCAUUCUGUUUUGUCAUUGAACGCAAGAUAUCCAUAAGUAUUAACGUUAUUAGGGUGAAUGGUUUAUCAACUACAUUUGUUUACUUUCAGGUCUAAGUAGAUGUUGCCAUCGUUUAUUUUUAAGACUCCAAUUGAUGUGUUCAGCUAUAGACCAAGGUAUUGCAACCAUGUGUUCAGUUGAGAACUCCUAUUGAUGAUGAUGAAGAUGAUGAAAAUGAUGAUGAUGAAUUAGCGUGGUCACGUGAUCAAAAGUCUUAGUUUGACCAGGUACCAUGCUUUCGACUGAAAACAUGGCUGUUUUAACAACAACAUGUUGUCAUGGUGAACCAACACGACUUACAACAACAGCAACACAAAGCAACAACAACAUUUUGUCAUCCAGGGCUCAACUUUGGGAACUAUCUUUGAGGAAGAAAGAGGAAGAAGAAGAAUUGGUGUCGACUGCGUGGAAGUCUCCAUGGUGACCAGGCUAGGCAUCUGUAUGGUAACCACUGUUGAGGCUUUGGUGGCUCCUCUAUGAGAACAUAUUUUGUAAUAUCUUAGACUUGGCAAUGAUCCAAUUUAUCCAAAGACAUGAAAUUGCAUGGAUUGAAUUGUUCAGUUGAGGUUUUGAAAAUAUUAAAAGAAAAAAAUCUAAA